rnacentral:rRNA from 1 species
UGGGGAAUAUUGCACAAUGGAGGGAACUCUGAUGCAGCGACGCCGCGUGAACGAAGAAGGCUUUCGAGUCGUAAAGUUCUUUUAUAUGGGAAGAUAAUGACGGUACCAUAAGAAAAAGCCCCGGCUAACUACGUGCCAGCAGCCGCGGUAAUACGUAGGGGGCUAGCGUUGUCCGGAAUCACUGGGCGUAAAGGGUUCGCAGGCGGAAAUGCAAGUCAGGUGUAAAAGGCAGUAGCUUAACUACUGUAAGCAUUUGAAACUGCAUAUCUUGAGAAGAGUAGAGGUAAGUGGAAUUUUUAGUGUAGCGGUGAAAUGCGUAGAUAUUAAAAAGAAUAACGGUUGCGAAGGCGACUUACUGGGCUCAUUCUGACGCUGAGGAACGAAAGCGUGGGUAGCAAACAGG